rnacentral:rRNA from 1 species
GACGAACGCUGGCGGCGUGCUUAACACAUGCAAGUCGAACGGAAAGGCCCUGCUUGCAGGGUACUCUAGUGGCGAACGGGUGAGUAACACGUGGGUGAUCUGCCCUGCACUUCGGGAUAAGCCUGGGAAACUGGGUCUAAUACCGGAUAGGUGCCAUUUUUAGUGUGAUGGUUGGAAAGUUUUUUCGGUGUAGGAUGAGCUCGCGGCCUUUCAGCUUGUUGGUGGGGUAAUGGCCUACCAAGGCGGCGACGGGUAGCCGGCCUGAGAGGGUGGACGGCCAAAUUGGGACAGAGAUACGGGCCAGACUCCUACGGGGGGCAGCAGUGGGGAAGAUUGCACCAUGGGCGGAAGCCUGGUGCAGCGAAGCCGGGUGGGGGAUGACGGCCUUCGGGUUGUAAACUCGGUUCGCUAGGGACGGAGCUGUUUGUGACGGUACCUGGAUAAGAAGCACCGGCUAACUACGUG